UCGAUCGUGGGGAUGCGGGUGCUGCGGCGCCGGCGGAGGGCGCGCUCGUCACUGGCUUGGUGACCUCUUUGCUGAGUAGGGGGGACGGGGGUGGGGUGCAGUAAAUGCAGGUCUUGUCCCCGCCCCCGGGUGGCGGGUCUGCUGGGCCGCCCUACCCCCUCCGAGCCUACGGCCCUGGAUGAAACCACCUUCGUGACAUUUUUGCUGGUUUCUUGUCGCUCUGUCUGCCCCCAAUAUAGUGAGCGGACAGAGGCCGCGUUUGUACUCCUCAUGGGGUGCAUGGGACACAGUAGGUGCCGCAGGACUUCUCGAAUGAAUGAACCACGAAUGAAUAACCCUUCUCUCAGAGCCUUCUAAAGCACAGCCCCACCGCCCCGGAGGACCUUUCCACCCUGUUUUUACGCUGACGUCACGCCCUUCAUCACAACAGUUUCUAAAGAGAGGUUCUCAAACGCUGGAGUGUAACAGCCUCCCCGGGAGAGCUAAGAAAGAACACGGAACCCCAGCUUUGCUGACAGGGGAUUCUGUGCCCAAGAACCACACCAGGGUCUCCUCAGGUCCCUGGGAGACUUACCCCAGCACAAGUUACUCAGCCCAGGAGCCUGUAGGGCAGGACACAGAAACGCUAUCGCCUCAGGGGAGAUCUGCCUCCUUUUGAAAGAUGGCCCCCCUCUCCCCCUCCCCUUCUCCCCCUCCUCCCCCUCCGUCCUUCCCCUCCUACAGCCCUUCCCCACCUCUCUCCAGGUGAAUUGAAUGAACACCAAAGGGAUUCAUGUCCAAAUCCCCAACCCCCCAGGGCAGAACAUCGCACACAUUCAGAAAAUAGAAAAGAUUGGUUGAAUGGAUAACGUUGAAACCUACAACUUCAUCCUCCAACUGAAUUCUCUAGCCCAGUAGUUCUCAGUUUUGGCUACACUUGGAAUCACCUGGAGAGCUUUUCAAAAUGUCUAAUGCCUGAGUCUCACCCUCAGAAACUACAGUUUGUUGUGCUGAGAGUCAGCCUGGGAAUCAGAAUUUCUAAAACCUCCCUGGGUGAUUCUAAUGUACAGCCAAUGCUGAAGAAUCUCUGCUUUACUCUGUCCCUGAAACCCCUCUCCACCUUUGCCAGCUGUGGGACCCUCAACCACUCUGAGCCUCAGUAAUGGGCUGUAAAAUGGGUAUAAUUAAUAAGAUGUACUUAGGGCCUUGCUAUUUAAAGUGUGUUCCAUGGACCAGGAGCCUUGGAACCCCAAUCCUCCUGAAUCGGAGCCCACAUUCUAACAAGCUGCCUGGUGAUUUGUUUGCAUAUUAAAGUUUGAAAAACACUGUUUCAGGAGAUUUUGAAGAAUGACUGAGAUAGUGAAUAUUAUAAUUAUAUAAUGAAUUAUAUGUAAUGAGUAUAACGGAAUCUGGUAACAGGCAUUCCUUAUGUGUUCGCUGAAUGAAUAAAUGACCCCUUGAUUUA